rnacentral:rRNA from 1 species
AUACGGAGGGUGCAAGCGUUGUUCGGAAUUACUGGGCGUAAAGAGCGCGUAGGUGGCUUUGUAAGUCGGAUGUGAAAGCCUUCUGCUCAACAGGAGAAUUGCAUCUGAAACUGCAAGGCUUGAGUACGAGAGAGGGAAGUGGAAUUCCCGGUGUAGCGGUGAAAUGCGUAGAUAUCGGGAAGAACACCAGUGGCGAAGACGACUUCCUGGAUCGAUACUGACACUGAGGCGCGAAAGCGUGGGGAGCAAACAGGAUUAGAUACCCCAGUAGUCC